GCAAAAUCGCUGUUGAGAUUAGUCAACUGAACCGGCUAGCAGUGCUUGACCUUUCUUCCAAUCAAAUUUCCGGAGAGAUACCGGUGCAACUCGGAAAAUUAUCCAAACUGUUGCUUCUAAGCCUGAAAGAUAACAGGCUUUCAGGUGAGGUGCCAGUGGAAAUUGGAGAACUUUCAAGCCUGCAGUCUCUAGACCUCUCUAUGAACAUGCUGAGUGGACCAAUUCCAUAUCAAAUAGGCGACUGCACUAGACUUCAACUGUUAG
rnacentral:misc_RNA from 1 species